GGCCCAAACUAAAAUUGGAGCCUGAACCACCCAACACCCAAAAUCCCCUCCCAUCGCCGCAUCCUCUCUCCUCCCGUUCCCCAUUCCUCCUGCUCCAUCUACGGCAGAUCCCGGCCAACUCCGGCCAGCCCCCCUGCCUUGCUGGCCACCAUCCCGACACUCCCUCAUCCUCCUCUCUCGAAUCCUCCGCGAGGAACAGCCAGGCUGCAUCACCAACUCAAACCCUAGCCUCCGGCUCUACAGAGAUCAAGUUUCGACCUUUGGGUCCAUGGCGGCGACACGGCCGCAGGACGGGGUGACGCGGUUCGGUGGCGAUCUUAACGCGCAGACCGGAAUGGAUUUCUCAGCUCCAUGCGCGUGGCGCACCUGAAUCCUCUUUUUUGCCACCCCGCUCAAACCCUAGACCCGCCGCGGCCAAAUCCUAUCACCGCCCCAACUCCGGCAACCGAGAUCAUGUUGGCCACCAUGGAAGGCCAAGGACUACUACGAAGAGGGCCACGCGCCAGGAGGACAGCGGCAACGCCCCGACAAACAUGCUGCUGCUACCCCCCGUGAGCGAGGUUCAAAUCAUAUUUGGGCACCAAGCUGCUGCUUAUGGAACCAUACCAGGAGGUGGCGGCCAGCCAGGUGAGGAGGAGGCUGACUUCAUCGGUGACAUCUGCAAGUGCCGCGGGGAGGUGCUACAGUCGCUGAUGAUCGACGGCAUCUAUUGACUUGGUCUCCGGAAAGAGAAACUCACCGACGAGGAGGUGCGCCGUUGUCGUGACAAGGAUGCUGAACUGCUGCUUGUUGCCUACACCAUCCGCGUUGAAGGCCUCCUGAAGCUCUUGCCUGUGCUCACUGAUCCGACCUGGCACAACUCCGAUGGGCUGCUGUUGCCAAUGACUUGCAGCUGGUUCAAAUCAUAUCAGAGGAUGAGAAGGAGAGACUCAAUGGCGUUGCAAGAGGAAGUCUCUACGGUGGCCGCCAAUCAGCUAUGAGGUCUUCAUCAAUAGCAUCUCACCUACCAGGAGGAUAUUGGCCCCAAGGAUUUGUUGGGUGGUGGAGGCCAAGAGGCAAGUAGUCACCUACAGCAGCCGGAUGACGGUAUAGCCCAAGGGGGUGGUGGAUUCAGGGCCGACAAUGAUCUCAGCUUGGAUGAUGCCAGGCACGAGAAUGGCUAUGCUUGGAAGUUAAUCGAUGGACGAGCUGAGCUUCUUUGUCUAGUGAUGUGAUGCUGCAGCGGUACAUGGAGCCAUGCUUCUUCUGUGGUGCUUCUGCAGGGGUUCCCUGAUGCGGCAGCACCAGCAGCAAGAGAGAAGUAGAGUUGAUGGUCCGUGAUGGUUUUUUUUGUGUUUAUUCAAGUGAUGGUGCUCUUGUAGUGUUGUGGUCUUAAAUUUUCUGCUAGCUGUGUGGUGCUCUUGUAACAUUAAUUAUUUUUAACUUGCUUCGUUGGUUAAAC